CUCAUUAAAUCAGUUAUAGUUUAUUUGAUGGUCUCUUUUUGUCUUUUUUUACCUACUUGGAUAACCGUGGUAAUUCUAGAGCUAAUACAUGCGCAAGGUCCCGAGCGCGGAGAGUGGGGCUUCACGGCUCUAUUCUUGCAUGCGUAGAGGGAUGUGUUUAUUAGGUUAAACAACCAGCAUUUUAACAAUCAUCUGGUGAUUCAUAGUAACUCUUUCGGAUCGCAUUCAUG
rnacentral:rRNA from 1 species